rnacentral:lncRNA from 1 species
CAAGUCAGGCUCUGAACACGAACUGGCGCUUUUUUUUUUUUUUUUGCCUUUUUUUUUUGCUUUUUUUUUUUUUUUGCCUCUCUCCUGGAAGAGUGCAGACACACAUCACGCGAAACCCACAGCCCUGCGCGAGAUACACAGCUCGAAACGCUCUAGUUUAUUUAUGUAGCCCCUCCACCCUCUGCUCUUCCCACCCGUCCCCAAAUUCCCUAGAAAUCCAGCUAAGGCGUGGGGAAGAGGGGAAAGCGGUUUUUGCGGGGGGGGGGAAUUAUUUAUUUUUGUUUUGUUUGGGGACUGUUUUGUUUUGUUAUUUUUCUUUGCAUACAAAAAUAAGUGAAGAAGAUUUUGCAAGGGAAUGUGGCACAGCCCCUGUUUUGGACAGAAAGAUGGCUGUCCGAGGAAAGUGAACAUCAGCUCUCAGCCCUUCAGGUGGAAGAAGAUCUUUCCCCUGCUUUCUGCUAGCCGGCCGGAGCAGGCAAUUAGCAUCCCCACUGCCACCACGGCCACCGAGAAGCGGCGAGGACCAGAGGCUCUGCCGCAGGAACCCGCCAGAACAGAAGCCCGCUGGGGCGCCGGUUUGGUCACCUGUGUACUGGAGCAACAUAGCUAAGUUGUGGGUUGACUUGCACUUGCAUCACUACCCUGAACUUAAUUGUGUCUGCAGUCAUCUGGAACUGACUACAUGCCAGGACUGAUAAAAGAUGCCGUGCAAACAUGGAUCUCUCGGGCCGUGGCAAGGUAUUCUUAUACACACAUGUGCGCAUGUUGGUGUUUGAGUACAUUCAAAAUGUCUGCAGUCGGUUCCAUCAGCCUAGCUGACUCGAUGCUCUGUUAGGUUUUGCAGCAGCUUAUGGGAAAUGGGAACAGUUUUGCAAAGCUGCUGAGAAGACUGGGAUUAACCCUGAAAAGGGGAAUAUGCCUGGUGUCCAGGAAUGUAUGAUGACCUUAAACAAGAGACACCCAAAAUCCCUCAGCUGACCUUUGUAUAAUGUAUAAAGACUCCAGUGAGUCUCUUUCCCUGCCUGUGACUCAUCUUUUUCUAAAUGUAGCCUGUAAGCCUCUCAGAGGACUGUCUUUCUCUCUGUACAGAGUAGCGUAAAAAAGAGCAACGGUGUUAAAUAACCAAUAUAUAUAUAUAUAUAUAUUUUUAACACAAACUUUUGAGGACUGCCUUGCUGUAUUUAUGCUUCUCCAUCAGGGAUUUAUUGGCUCCCUGAGAGAACAGUGGAAGAGUUUCUGUCUUGACCCACAAAAUGAUGGAUGUUCAGACAAGAGGUUUCAGGAACAGCACAACAGCAGUUCUGUGGGUAGUAGACAUUAUAAUAGAAGAUACGUAGAGUCUAAAUAUCAACAAACCUUUCAUAGCACCCGUGUGCUUCCUUCCUGUUUCUGACCCAUUCGUAACUGGCAGCAUUACUGUAGUUACUGCAGCAUGGCCUACAUGGACAUGCAGUAGGAAGUCGCCCAGUCCUUUCAGCAGGUUGCCCUACAUGUGUCCUUUCUUCCAGUCUGUGCGUACACUGUCCAGCCCAGUUUACUUCUGUUGUGGACACUCUGGUGACCCUGAUUAUACUGUUAUUUUCCAUCUUCAGCUCUUGUUUUGUCUUUGACUUCUAGCAGAUCUCCUACUGGAGCCGGACAAAUUCGUUCCUUUUCUCUUUCCAGAUGCUUUUGCAGUAUCCUGUCUCUCUAUUGCCUGGACCUCUGGAAGACAGAAGAGUGGGAAUCAACAGUGAUGGUUUUCCUGCAAAUGCAAUUUGAGAACUACUUUGACAGCCGAUAGAAAAAGAACUACCUUGCAGUGUGACCACAGCAAGUGCAUGUUCUUUCUGACAGUGUAUAAUUGCACUGUGUCCCUGGUGAGGAAUGAUGCCAGAAUCGCCAUCUGAUUAUCUGUAUUCUUUUCUCAUAGUUGUUUUAACCAAGUUGUUUCUUUUCCACAAAUGUUCAUGCAAAAAAUGCAAAGAUUCUCCAUGUAGAAUAAGUAGGCCUAUAAAGUAAGGAAUGGCUGGUAUGGAACAAACGGAAAAUUAGAUCUUUCAGCAAUUUUGCUCUUGUAAUUAAGGCCUGUCUGUGGCAGUUCUGAUGCGGGAUACACUUAGUGAGGCUUAUGAGAAUUUUCCCUGUGUGAAGACUGCAGGAUUUAGCCCUAGCAAAUAAUAACGUUCUAACAAUGGUAGCCGUUGGGCUAUAGGUGAGUUUUCUUUGGAGAGGAAAAAAAAGAGGGAGAAGAAGAAAACUUGUCAAAAGUUUGAUGCCAUCUUUCAGUAUUAAGUGACAGAUAAACAGAGGGAAAAAACAAAAGGUGAACUAAAUCACGGUAUGGAUGGAUACAUGCUUUCUGUUAUUGAAUAAACAAAAUUCAGUGAUGUAUAUUAUUCCGUGU